UGGGGAGUCGUCUAGCGGCAGGACAGCAGACUCUGGAUCUGCUUGCCGAGGUUCGAAUCCUCGCUCCCCAGCCA
rnacentral:tRNA from 1 species